AGUGAACGCUGGCGGUAGGCCUAACACAUGCAAGUCGAACGGACGCACAGUAAGCUUUUGCUUUUACGGGUGGCGGCUGGCGGGUGGGUGACGAGUACAUAGGAAUCUACUUUUUCGUGGGGGAUUACGUGGAGCAGCUUACACUACUACAUAAUACGUCCUACGGCUUGGAGCAGUGGUGCAUCGCACCUUGGCCGUUUCAUUGAGACGGCGCCGCAUUAGCUAGUUGGCGGGGUAAAGGCCCACCAAGGCGACGAUCCGUAGCUGGUCUGAGAGGAUGAUCGGCCACACUGGAACUGAGACACGGUCCAGACUCCUACGGGAGGCAGCAGUGGGGAAUAUUGGACAAUGGGCGCAAGCCUGACCCAGCCAUACCGCGUGAGUGAAGAAGGCCUUCGGGUUGUAAAGCCCUUUUAUUGGGAAAGAAAAGCAGUAGGUGAAUACCCGGCUGUUCUGACGGUACCCAAAGAAUAAGCACCGGCUAACUUCGUG
rnacentral:rRNA from 1 species